rnacentral:rRNA from 1 species
AGAGUUUGAUCCUGGCUCAGAUUGAACGCUGGCGGCAUGCUUUACACAUGCAAGUCGAACGGUAACAGGGAGCUUGCUCCGCUGACGAGUGGCGAACGGGUGAGUAAUGCAUCGGAACGUGCCUAUUUGUGGGGGAUAACGUAGCGAAAGUUACGCUAAUACCGCAUACGCCCUGAGGGGGAAAGCGGGGGAUUCGUAAGAACCUCGCGCAAUUAGAGCGGCCGAUGUCGGAUUAGCUAGUUGGUGGGGUAAAGGCUCACCAAGGCGACGAUCCGUAGCGGGUCUGAGAGGAUGAUCCGCCACACUGGGACUGAGACACGGCCCAGACUCCUACGGGAGGCAGCAGUGGGGAAUUUUGGACAAUGGGCGAAAGCCAGGUCCAGCCAUGCCGCGUGAGUGAAGAA